UACGGAUAAUUGACACGUGUAUA
rnacentral:miRNA from 1 species